UCUAGCCUCAGCUGAGAAUUCUUCAGAUCAGCCCUUAAGAAGAGAGAUGUAUCAGAAUUCAAUGAGGAAGACAGAAAUCAUGCCAGGAAGAUUUUCAUUUCUGUGAACUUGGAAGACUACCCAGUGAAGGGAGAAAGAAAAGACUGAGCAGAAAGGAGAUGGGAAAAUAUUUCCCAAGACAUCGUUUGUUGAUGCAUAACUAACACUCAAGUGCCAAAGAUUGUAACGGAGAAGGGGAAACAGGACAAGAGGAG